GCGAUGAUCAUAUGAUGACUGUCGCGCUGAUGCUGCUCUCGGCAUGUGCUCGUGCACAUCAUGAUCUCUCACAUUGUGCACAUUGUAGACUGGAUACAUCGAGCCGAGCCAAAUCUCGGUUUGGCCUCGGUUUGAGGAUUGCUGUGUUAACGCCAGUCUUUCCUUACAUUUCCAAGUCUAUGUUUACAUACCCAUAUAAUGAAAAACCUAGAAUGUCUAUGUGGGCCUUUGUGCCUAUAAAGAAAAAUACAACUCCAGCAACGGAUCUCUUGGCUCUCGCAUCGAUGAAGAACGCAGCGAAAUGCGAUAAGUAAUGUGAAUUGCAGAAUUCAGUGAAUCAUCGAAUCUUUGAACGCACCUUGCGCCCCUUGGUAUUCCGAGGGGCAUGCCUGUUUGAGUGUCAUUAAAUUAUCAACCUCAAAAGCUUUCAUUAGCUCGAGAGGCUUGGAUGUGGGGGUUGCAGGCCUUUUGUUAGGUCUGCUCCUCUUAAAUGCAUUAGCGUGAACCUUUGUGGAACAGCUAUUGGUGUGAUAAUUAUCUACGCCUUUGGUUUGUGAAGCAGUGUUCGAGCUUCUAACGGUCCUUAAGCUGGACAAUUUAUGACAAUUGACCUCAAAUCAGGU
rnacentral:rRNA from 1 species